rnacentral:rRNA from 1 species
AAUGGGCUAGGGGGCCACAAAGCUUACCGAACCCUAUCAAACUUCGAAUACCGGAGAAUUGUCGUCGGGAGUCACACGGUGGGAGAUAAGUUUCAUCGUGGAAAGGGAAACAGCCCAGAUCAACGACUAAGGUCCCAAAGUGACGGUUAAGUGGGAAAGGAUGUGCAAUUGCACAGACAACCAGGAUGUUGGCUUAGAAGCAGCCACACAUUUAAAGAGUGCGUAAUAGCUCACUGGUCGAGUGAAUGUGCGCCGAAAAUGUACCGGGGCUAAACCGAACACCGAAGUCUUGGGAUUGCGCAAGCAAUCGGUAGGGGAGCAACGAAUACGGGCAGAAGCGGGAUUGUGAGAGACCGUGGACUGUAUUGGAGAGAGAAUGCCGGCAUGAGUAGCGAGAGCAAAGUGAGAAUCUUUGCCGUCGAAAGCCUAAGGUUUCCUGAGGAAGGUUCGUCCUCUCAGGGUAAGUCGGGACCUAAGCCGAGGACAGAAGUCGUAGGUGAUGGACAACAGGUUGAUAUUCCUGUACCACCGACACACGUUUGACUGAGGCAGUGACACAGAAGGAUAGGCAGAGCGGCCGAAUGGUAGAGGCCGUCCAAGCAGUAAGGGAGUAACGUAGUGAAGUACGCGUUGCAAUUCUGAGCUGUGAUGGGGAGUGAAAACAAGUAACGAAGCUGCUGAAUCCACGCUGGCGAGAAAAGCUGCUAGGGAGUGUGAAGGUGCCCGUACCGCAAACCGACACAGGUAGGCGAGGAGAGAAUCCUAAGACGAGCGGGAGAACCCUUGUUAAGGAACUCGGCAAAAUGACCCCGUAACUUCGGGAUAAGGGGAGCCUCGGAAGAGGCCGCAGAGAAUAGGCCCAAGCGACUGUUUAGCAAAAACACAGGUCUGUGCGAAGUAGAGAUACGACGUAUACGGGCUGACGCCUGCCCAGUGCUGGAAGGUUAAGGGGAAAUGUCAGGGCAACCGAAGCAUGGAACUUAAGCCCCAGUGAACGGCGGCCGUAACUAUAACGGUCCUAAGGUAGCGAAAUUCCUUGUCGGGUAAGUUCCGACCCGCACGAAUGGCGUAACGACUUGGGCACUGUCUCAACAAGGGACCCGGCGAAAUUGUAGUAUGUGUGAAGAUGCACAUUACCCGCGAUAGGACGGAAAGACCCCGUAGAGCUUUACUGUAGCUUGGCAUUGGAUUUUGGUAACAUAUGUACAGAAUAGGUGGGAGACGGAGAAGCGAGGACGCCAGUUCUCGUGGAGUCAGCUUUGGGAUACCACUCUUGUGUUACUGGGAUUCUAACGAACGGCCGUGAACCGGCGUUCAGACAGUGCCAGGUGGGCAGUUUGACUGGGGCGGUCGCCUCCGAAAGAGUAACGGAGGCGUCCAAAGGUUCCCUCAGAAUGGUUGGAAACCAUUCGCAGAGUGCAAAGGCAGAAGGGAGCUUGACUGCGAGACCGACAGGUCGAGCAGGUACGAAAGUAGGGCUUAGUGAUCCGGCGGUAUGAGAGUGGAAUUGCCGUCGCUCAACGGAUAAAAGCUA